AUUGAACGCUGGCGGCAUGCUUUACACAUGCAAGUCGAACGGUAACAGGCCGCAAGGUGCUGACGAGUGGCGAACGGGUGAGUAAUGCAUCGGAACGUGCCCAGUCGUGGGGGAUAACGCCGCGAAAGCUGUGCUAAUACCGCAUACGAUCUGUGGAUGAAAGCGGGGGACCUUCGGGCCUCGCGCGAUUGGAGCGGCCGAUGUCAGAUUAGGUAGUUGGUGGGGUAAAGGCUCACCAAGCCGACGAUCUGUAGCUGGUCUGAGAGGACGACCAGCCACACUGGGACUGAGACACGGCCCAGACUCCUACGGGAGGCAGCAGUGGGGAAUUUUGGACAAUGGGCGCAAGCCUGAUCCAGCAAUGCCGCGUGCAGGAAGAAGGCCUUCGGGUUGUAAACUGCUUUUGUACGGAGCGAAAAGGCUCCCUCUAAUACAAGGGGCUCAUGACGGUACCGUAAGAAUAAGCACCGGCUAACUACGUGCCAGCAGCCGCCGUAAGAC
rnacentral:rRNA from 1 species